rnacentral:lncRNA from 1 species
CCCCGUGGUGUUGGAGGGUGCAGGGAAGGGGGGAUCAGGGGGUAGGAGGGUGGGUGCUGCAGGAAGGGAAUCCUGGGAGCAAGCCCUGGGUGCUGCACCCCUAUCAGGGCAGGGGGUGGGCCCCUGUUGUAAAGGAUAAAGCAAAAAGCUUGGAGAAUUGGGGUGGGGGGUGGUUUUACAGGCCAGGUGGGGGCUUAAAUAAAACACUUAAAUAAGCACUAAUUGCUUAGCAGGGGGGAGGAACCAGCAGUGGGGGUAUGGGGUGGCAUGGCCACCCUGGGGCUGAUGCUGAGGUCCCCCAGGGUCCUGGCUGUGACCUGGACUGGAGAACAGCCCCUGGCCCCCACAACAGCUUCCUGAGCACCAAGGGCACUCCAGCUGGGAUACAGCUCCAGGCUGGGCUGGCCACGGGAGGGGGUGGGAGAAGGGUGGGUGACUACGGGGACACCUCUGCCGGCACUGGGACCCAUGGCGGUGCCAGGCUGGGGUGGGGACGGGCUCAUCCCACGAGUCCUGGUGCCAGAGCUGCGUCCAGCCCAGGGUGGGACCAUCCUGUGGCAUGGAGCAGAGCCCCUGGCACCAGCCCCAUCCCACAUGGGUGCUGUCUGUGCAGCGUCCCUGCACGGGCACACCCAUGUGCCCUCAUUCCCCCAGGAUGGGGCAGGGGGGCUCAGGGGGGACAUUUCUCACCUCAGGGUUUGGUCUAUAGACCCCAAAAGGAACCAGCCCUGAAUUCAAGGUUUCGCUCAGCUCCGCUUACUUCUAUUUCCUUCCGGAAGCUGGAAUUGCACAAUUAUCCUAAGCCUCGAAUGAAUUUUAAAAAAACAAAAACAAAAAACAAAGGAAGAAACAAACAAACAAACAAAACCAAAACAGAACAAAGAACCACGAGCGCGCCCCCCUCCCCCCCCUCCCCAAUAAGUCUCUUUGGCAGCAAUAACUUAAAAUCGCAUCAAUGUGGGUUCAGUCAACAGCAAGUUUUGGAUUUGGGGUGGGUUUGGGGUUGGGGUUUUUUAGUAAUUUUGUUUAAAUACAAAAAUAGUCAGGUUGGUGGGUCCCAGUGGGGGAUACUCCCUCCACAACCAACCCUCCACGUGUUGCUCCCCGCUACAAUGGGCAAGGGUCCCAGCAGUCCUCAGGGUCCCCAGCUGGGACUGAUCCCUGCAAACCAAGGGAGGGGAGCUCCAAAGCCAUGAGGACCACUCUGGGUAGCUGGUGGCACCUCUGGCACAGGGAGUGACAUCCAGAGUGGCAGCAGCCAGUGGCCCCUCGGUCAGGAAUGUCAUGGAGUGCCUCUGGGGCAGCCCUGGGGCAGCUGUGGGGCCACUGUGGGACAGCUGUGGGACAGCCAAGCUGCCACAAGGUGCAAGACUGAG